rnacentral:lncRNA from 1 species
GCGUGCAGCUGAGGUACUGCGGGCAUCACACGCCUUUAUUACAACAAGGAGGCUGCGGAGAGGCGCUUGGAAGUUCUUGGAACCAGGAAGGGCCCCUAAGUAGGAGGCUCUAGGUGGCUUGUUAUAACUAAAAGGAAGAAUCAGUCUGGGGCAAUUAGAAAGAGAGAGCAACAUCCGGUGCCUUGUCUGAUCGCCUCUUUCCUUUUUUCGAUCUUGCCGCCUCUUCUCCAUUCCUCGAAGCCUCCAUCAGCUCCUGCCCUUUGUAGCCAGGGCUGUGCACAGGACCGCAGCAGGUUGGCUGCUUACUUCCCGGAAAGGUUUGGCCUGUGUCUGUGUGGAACUAAGACAACUGAUGAGGCUGGUUAACAGUGACUGGUUAACAGUGAGUUAAACAGUCAAAUGGACUGGUAAGGGCCGGACUGGUUAUAUGAUGAUGCCGACGAUGAUGACAAUCCCUGGCAGUUUCCCCCUCUCUCUGUUUCGGGGGUUAGGAAAUGUGCAUAAAGAGACCGCGGCUCUGCCUGGAGAAAAAGAGAAGCAAAGUGAAGGAUUGCAAUUCGUUAGGUCCCCACGUGGUCGCACGAUGCAGAGCUCCAGAAGCACCCUCAGAAUACCUCCUGGGGGUUUCUCAGAAGAGGGAGAGGAUGGUUCACUCCUUCUGGCCAAACCGGACGUGGGCAUGAUACACCAAAGUGGUCACGCAUGUGCCUUACUGUGUAGACAUCAAAAGUUCGAUGGUGUAUGAACGAUGGAUUCUCCUGAGACAAGACAUUUCAGAAUUGUGGGGAUGACUUUGUGGGCUGGCACUUUUCAAGGCACAAAUUCACAUAAAUCACCUAGAUUGUAUUUUCACAACAGACACACAAACACAACCCAGCCCACGACUGGUUGCUAUGUGUGAUUUUUAAGCAAACUCUCGUUGACGAUAAUCUCUGGGGGCUGCCAAGCUGGUUUCCUUCCUGUUGGUAUAAAGUCCCCCAGUGACUCCUUAUCGGUCUUGACUUUCUUCCUAUUUACUAAUAACUUCUCAAUGCACAGCCUAGAGUGAAACAGAACUACAGUGAAUAUAUUUCAAAUAAUGGGAUUUUCGUGUAUAUGCUUCUGGGAUAAUGGCCCCAAAUAUGCCCCUGGGAACAAAUUAACUGCAAAGGUUUGCAUCUGUGAUUCGGAUUUCCUGCUGAACUUGCUUUGAAAGAGCAAAUACGUGUGGAAUGAAGCUGCUUUGUAGGUUUCCUCUUUAUACAAGACCUCCUUUCUGCUUAAUCACCUAGAUUGACUCCGUGAAAGCACAAAUGGAUGUAGUUCACUGAAGAGCAUUUCCGAAACAUGUGUCUUUCCUGUGAUGAUGUAUAAUUAAUCACCUCCAGGCAAGGCAAACAAGUCAAGGUGGCUUUUAAAGACUCUGUCAGUCUUUCUUCUUCUCUUCCUGUCUUGUCUUGUCAGAAGAAUCUGCAACUCUCCUCUGAUUUUCUCUGCUCCGAGCCUAAUGUGACCAUGUAAGUUCCAUCAGUGGCUCCUUUGAACCGCUCUUCACUCCUCUGGAUGCAGAGGCCAAGUCUACACAGCGGAUAACACAGACAAAUAAAUGCAAGGGUCUGAAUCAACACACACGGAAAUCUCUGCAGCUGCCAACCUGCUUCAGUUUCCUUUCUCCUUCCUCUUCCAGCUGGACCCAACCAGGGGCCCUUUACACAACAGUGCUUUCGUUCAUCCUGCCCCUCUCUGGUGAUGACAUCUCUGCAGGAAAAACUCCCCUCUCAGGCAUGUGUAUUGUGGCGAGGAUUCUCAGAGGGCACCUCAGGUUGAAGCCUUCUUUCUUACUGGGCCCAGAAAAGUUCUCUUCUCUGAUAAGACAACUCAGAGCAUCAGUGAGUAGACUGGGAAGGUGUAGAAGCAGAGAUGAAGGUGGUUUCAUCUAUGCUCACUCAUAAAUCACUGUGGCCUUGGCAUUCCCAAAGCAAGUGCGUUGUUACGUGUAGCUGCUACGCAAAAAGCUGUGGAAGUCCUAAUGCCAAGUGUCUGUGAAUGGGACCGUCUUGGGAAACAGGAUCUUCGCAGGUGAUCACGCUAAGAAGAGGUCGUGAGGAUGGGCCCUGAUCCAAUAUGACUGGGAUCUUUAUAGAAAGAGGAAAUUUGGACACAGAGGCAGACAAACAUGCAAGGAGAUGCCAAGUAAGAUGAAGGCAGAGAUUGGGGUGAUGCUUCUAUAAUCCAGGAACAAUACAGAUUGCCAGCAAACCACCCGAAGCCAGGAGUCAGACGUGGAACACAUACUCCCUCCCAGUCCUCAGAAGGAACCAACCCUGCCUACACCUUGACCUUGGACUUCUAGCCUCCUGAACUGUGAGACGUUACAUUUCUGCUGUUCUAAGACACCCAGUUU